AUGCCGGGGAACGAGCACCUAGGACCUGGGCUCAAGACUCUUUCCCUAAGCACAGGUUUGAGCCCGAGAACCUGGACGCUCCCCCAGCCUCUCGGUCUUGCUCUCCCCGGCCCCUCUGCCGAAGCACACCUUCAGGGCGUUGCCAUGGGGACGCGGAGGCCUCACCUGAGUCCAGGUUCCAUCAUCAUCUUCCUCAGCCUCUUCUGGUGGGUCUUCUGGUAUACUGGCAAUGUUGAGGCGCCGCCCGACCACUCCCUCUUGACCAACAAGCGGCUCCAAAUGAGGUCUUCGUCUUACCUCCAAACCCUGCGGAACAGCAUUAGCCACAGCUUACCCUUCACUGUGCCGAGGCUCCCCAAAAGGACACACAGCAAAAGCCCCUUCCCGUUAACCCUGAAGAUGGUCGAUACUUCCCAGCCAGAAACCCCCCAAACUGGAAGCCUCCAUCCAGAAAGCCUCCACUCAGAGAUCCUCCAGCCAGAAGACCUCCAGUCAGAAGACCUCCAGCCAGAAAACCGCCAGCCAGAAAUCCUCCAGCCAGAAAGCGUCCAGCCAGAAAUCCUUCAGCCAGAAAGCUCCCAGUCAGGAGACCUCCAGCCAGAAAACUCUCCCCAAGAAAGCCCUCAGACAAAAAAACCCCAAUCAGAAAACCUUCUGCCAGAAAACUCCCGGUCAGAAAGUUCCCUGUGGAUAAAAUGUGAGCCUGUGCUUAUUACCAAGGAAUCCUCCUUCCCAAACUUGGAGAAGCCUCCCACGGAAAAGCUGCAAGAUUCUCAAACUUUUCAACUCUAGCCCAAACCCUGAGCUAACUCUUUGCAAAGUUCCCUUGCUACUUUUUUGUUAUCCCUUAGCAGGACACUCAGGACCAGCCAUAUGAUUUAAUUAAAACAAAUCAGUUUGAGCCCCUAAUAUUAACCCAUGCCACCAAGCCAAGGAAUUGCCCCUUCUCCACUCCCUGCCACCACACUACCAACUGGCAGCAAGGGAUCCCCUCAAUAAGAAAAGGGGGAAAAAACUACAAGUAGUUCCUACAGUUCCCCUGCUGCUUCCAUCUGAACUAUUUCUCCAUCUUCUCUAAGUGAGUACUUUUGGAAGAAUAUUAAAGUACAUUAUUCCUUAACUGUUUCAAAACUUGUGGUCCUUCCAGAUUUCAGAAAUGUUAGGCUUUGUUAGUGAAACCAGUUCUUUGGUUAAGCAAGGAAACAGAAAACUGGUUUUUUUUUGGAUAAAGGAUUUAGAUAUUGACUGAAUUAAUUUAACAGGCAUAUUGCCCCAUUGUGACAUUGUUUUUCUUAGUUAAUCCGGUGGAUAGAUUUAAGUUUCUUGCCCAGUCCACUAAAUCAUGAAACUAAUCUCUUUAAGUUUUUGUAGAAAGACAGUAUUAACUAUAGUAGUCUAGAUUUCCCAAUCUGUUCACGUACUUUUCCCAAGUUUGGGAUUGAAUCCAUAUCCUUAAGAAAGCAAGAUGUCAAUUAAUCAAUAACUAUCAAUUAAGAAUCUAUUUUAUGGUAGGUGCUGGAGACAAAAGGCAAAAAUGGAAGUCCUUGACCUCCAGCAACUUGCUUUCUAAGAGGAAAAUGGCAUUCACCUACAAAUAAAUUUGAAGUAAUUUGAAGGUUGGAAAAACUA
ensembl:lncRNA